rnacentral:lncRNA from 1 species
UCGCUCCAAACAUACUUUACUCCUUUAUGGGUAAGGCGCGUUAGUGGAGUGGUUAUUUUAGCGAACCCCUCCACGAACCGCCGAUAGUAGCCCGCAAGUCCAAGAAAACUGCGGACCUCCGCUACAUUCGUCGAGCGAGGCCAAUCCUUUAUUGCCUCUACUUUCUUCGGGUCUACCGACACUCCGUCGCCCGAUACUACAUGACCCAAAAAUGUGACCUCCUUUAGCCAAAAGUCACACUUCUUCAACUUUGCAUAGAGCUUCUCCUGCCUGAGUAUCUGCAACACAGCUCUCAAGUGCUCCUCAUGCUCUUCCUCACUCUUGGAGUAAACCAAUACGUCGUCUAUGAACACCACGACGCAUCGAUCCAACAACGGCCUGAAGACUCGGUUCAUCAAGUCCAUAAAUGCUGUCGAGGCAUUAGUAAGCCCAAACGGCAUUACCGUGAACUCAUAAUGGCCAUAUCGCGUACGGUACGCCGUUUUGUGCACAUCCUUUGGCCUAAUCUUUAAUUGAUGAUAUCCCGAUUGGAAAUCAAUCUUCGAAUACACCUUGGACCCUUGCAACUGAUCGAAUAAAUUGUCAAUCCUUGGCAACGGGUACUUGUUCUUUAUCGUCACUUUGUUCAACUCGCGAUAGUUUACGCAGAGUCGAAGUGUGCCAUCCUUUUUCUUCACAAAUAGCACCGGAGCUCCCCACGGUGACACGCUCGGCCUCACGAAGCCCUUAUCGAGCAAGUCUUGUAAUUGGCCUUUCAACUCCUUUAGCUCCACCGGUGCCAUUCUAUACGGAGCCUUCGAAACUGGCGUCGCUCCGGGAAUCAAGUCAAUGACGAACUCAACUUUCCGGUCCGGUGGCAAUCCCGGUAACUCCGCCGGAAACACAUCCGGGUACUCGCACACUACUCGAAUAUCCCCGAACUUUGGAUACUCCUUUCGAGCAUCUACAAUGGUUAUCAAAUAGGCCUUACACCCUCCUUUGAUCAUUCUCUUCGCCCUUACAGACGAUAUGGUCGCCGCGAAGCACCUACUUUUGCACGCUUGGUACACCAACUCUUCUUGAUUAGGCUCACGAAAAGUGAUCACCUUGCUUCACAAUCUAUAACCGCAUAGUAUUUGGAGAGCCAGUUGGUCCCCAAGAUGACAUCGAAUCCCGACAUCUGAUCUAGCACUAGCAGAUCUAUCGGCAUAAUACAAUCGCCUAUUUGCACUGGACACGCCAAACACUCAUUAUGGACACUGAAUGAAUGUUCUGGGGCGUUCAUCCACCAGUAGUCCUCGUUAUAUGCCAUCUCUAUGCCAUGAGUUUGAACAAAUGAUGCGCUAAUGAAUGAAUGAGAUGCGCCUAUAUCAAAUACUGCUCUAGCUCUAGUGCCUUUAAUCACAAUUAUACCUGCCACGACGUCGUCGGGUGUUGCAGGUUGCUGCUCCUCCACCUGAGCGGCAAAGACCCGGCCGUUAGGCGCUCUCGAUCCCUCCGGCUGACGCGGUGAUGACGCGCGCCCAGCCGACAUCGCUAGUGGCAACCCCGCAAGCUGUCUCGGGGUAGACGGCGCUGAUGCCGCCUUCGGCGCAGACGUCGUCCAGCUUGGGCACUCCCGGAUAAGAUGUCCCGGUUGGCCACACUUAAAAUAUUUACCGUCUCACUGCGGGCAAGCCGUCACUCGGUGCUCACCGCCGCAAAUAACACAUCGAGGAGGUCUCCAGUUCUUCGACUGCUGUCGGGGAUACCGAGGGGGUUUCUUAGCAUUUGGCAGGCCCCCGGCACCGCCCGCCGCUCGCUGCUUGCCCUUAUCUUUGUUCUCGGCCAUAGCCUCCCGUUCCUCUCGAACGUGAGCGCUACCAUGCUCCGCCCAUAAGGCUCUAUCAAAGACCUCCGCAAAGGUCGUCAGCUUCAAGAUCUGCACCUUCUCAUAUAUCCUCGGUUGGAGUCCUCGUAAUAACCAAUCAGCCCGAUCCCGAUCAUCUCGAACAACAUCGAGAACGCAGUCGAUAAUAUAGGAGAAUUCCUGCUCAUACUCCCCCACCGAUCGAUCGCCCUGUCUCAACUUGCGGAACUUUUCUUGCAACCUCCGCUUCACCGUGUCAAGGAAGUAGUUCGCAAAGACUGCUCUCUUGAACUCCUCCCACAGCAUAAGCGGAAGAUCGGUAGGUCGAUCCCGCUUAACUCGCUUCCACCACACCAUCGCCGCCUUCUCAAGACAAUGGGUGGCAAGGUAUACUUUGUCCUUCUCCGAGGUAUUUAGAUCCUCGAAGAGCGUCUUCAUCGAGUCGAUCAAUGACUCCUCAACCGCUGGCUCCACCAAACCGCCUUCGAAGGUAGGUGGGUCGAACUUCAUAAACUGUAUGAGAGCCGCCAACAUGCGCUCCCGCUCCGCCUCUACCGCCGCACUAUCGGGAUUUGAGGUUCCCGAUCCGGCCGGCACCGCCAUAACUGGCACAGCCGCAACUGGCUCUGCCGCUAAACCCUCGACAGCGACAGGGGGCGCAGGAGGUCCGACGCCCGCUUGCGUCGCCGCCGCCUGUUGUCGCUCAACAGCCUCUUAGAGCCUUUGAAUCUGCUCCCCUUGGCUUCGCACAAACUCUGCUUGCUGCCACACUACUCCAAUAAGCGCAGCCACUUGAUUCCUAAGCUCUCCGUCGCUACUCGCUCCGGAUCGCUCGGGCUCCGCACUCGGCUCCUCGGGCAUCGACCUUGUCUGUGGUCGACCACGAGGUGCCAUUGCUUCCUGAAAAGAAGCAACUCGCAUUAGCUACAUAACCAACAUUACUCAUCAAUACCUAAUUCGCCGAAAGCAACAUACACAUUCAUCCUUGCCUCAAGCGUCAUGUCGUCGGCCGCCCGACAGAACACUAGAAGUAGAGGACAAAUGAAAAUUAAACUUAGCCUUUAAUCACAUUAGAGACAUCCCAACUUAACCCAAUCACAUGCUUUUGCUAACUUUGAUCCCACGUCACUCACGUUUCCUAGAUCCUUAAGGCCUGCCAAUCCUAUAGGUCUCUAGAUCCAUUCCUAUUCUUUCACUCUAGGCUCUGAUACCACAAUAUCUGUCAUGCUCCGGGACCGAUACCAAUUUGGGCCGGCCCGAGCACGUCAAACAGACGCUGAACGGACAGAGUUUCUCCUAUCCGCCCAAGGCUCAUCACCUGUACAUUUUCAAGUAGAGAAAAGCACUAGCGGAAACAUACACAAACGGCUUACACGAGGGUAAGCAAUAGCCAUGAGUGAAAGAAAGGAAACUAAACAUCUACAUAAGUACUAUGAUUCUCUUUUGAUCACAUACAUUGCAUUUAACCUUCAAAUUCAUGAUUCUUUACAUUUCAUUACAUCACUUGCAUCAUUUCUUUUUACAUCACAUUGCCUCAAAAUAAAACUUUGCAUUCUUUUUCUUUACUUUAAACAUCUUCAAGUACAAAAGAUGACCAUAGGGUAGCUACUAACAAAAUGUGAAAUAAUCCAACUCUGGUGGCCUCUGACUAUGGUGCAAUACCUUUACCGCGGUCGCUUGACGACUCGCUCGGUCCCGGCUCUGUGAAAAUAGUGGGGUGAGAACUACAACAAAGUUUCCAGUGGGUUCGGCCCCAAUCUCACUGACUUUCCCACUAGGUCUAACUCAGGCAUAAUAGAAAGAAUAAGCAGAUAAGUAGCCAACUAUACAAAUGCAGCUAAUAUGCCUGAACAAUGCUAUCAAUAAGAUGCUCAAUAUAAAUUCAUGAAGAAUGCAUGGUCGAUGUUCUUUGUUCUUUGUUCUUUGUUCUUUGUUCUUUGUUCAAUCUCAAGGCUAACCCGGGGGUAUCGCCUCAUUAACUCACAACUCAAAUCCAUGAUCGCGGGCCCUCAGCUUCCUCCCGCUAGGACCGUCCUCUGAGUAACUCAACUCAGUGAUGACAAACUCCGGAGCGCAUCGCCCGAGGGGGAGCGACCACCCUCGAGCAAAGACUUAUAGCGAGUAUGAUCAAUCCUCAACUCUAAGGAUAUUCAGUUCAAUCUAUUCCUUAACUCUAAGGAAUUAUACACAAAUGACCCUUAGCUCUAAGGUUGAAUGUCAUCGUGUCAAUCUCAUGUUCUUUGCAUUCUUUAUCCUUGACCAUGUCAAUACACUAACUCUAGUGUUCUUUACAUUCUUUACUUUCAUCAUGUCUUUAUACUAACUCUAGUGUUCUUUACAUUCUUUACUUUCAUCAUGUCUUUACACUAACUCUAGUGUUCUUUACAUUACUUUAUUUUGCUAACUCUAGCACUCAUUGUUCUUUAACUUUACUCGUUCUUUAUGCCACUUUCAUUUUCUUCACUUGUCUCUAAUCAUUGUCAUUGUUCCUUGCGUCACAUUUCUCUUUGAUGCCACACACUAACUCUAGUGUCACAUUGCUUUACAUUAUCGGAUGCCACUCGAUCUAUAUUUUAUUGUGUCACUUUGUUCUUUCCAUCUCAUUGGACGCUCACAUUAUAUUCUCAUGCAUACAUAUAGGGUUGAAUAGGUUCUCAAACAUUUCAAAUAGCACGUGUACUCACAUCAUGCAACAUUCACAUAUAUCACAUCACAUCUACCCUAUAAUGCAUGCAACAAUAUAAACACUUGCUCAAUUGAAUGACACAUUAGGCAUAGAAGAAAUUCCAACGAGUUUGGAUAGCACCACCCACCUCGUAGGAGUACUAGGAUGCUACGAUGAUUUUCUUGGGAUUUUUAGCUUCUUAGUUUGUCACCUGCGGCAAAACGAAGCCCUAUUAGGCCAUUUUGCUCAUAUCUUUACAUCGGCUUUUCGUAACGUCAAUCCGAGUGCACCAACAUGUCGGAAAUACUCCCAAUUAGCGUAUCCGCCUCAAAAGGUACAAAAUGGUGGACUCUAGUACAUGGGUAAACUCUCAACCUCUCACAAAAUAAAGUAACGAGAGGUAAACCACCUAUCCAAUCGUCCUCAAAGGAAGCUAGUUCGAAGCAACUUCCUUCCCGCGGUCCCUAGCCUCUUCCGGCGUGGAAGGCUCUGAAAGAAAACAUAAAACGGAAGGCGUGAGAACUAUAAUUUAUAGUUCCCAGUGGGCAAUUACUGACCUCAGCUCUAUGCACCACUAGGCCCCGACAGAAAAGGGUAAGUACGAUAAGUAAUAAUAAUAAAGAUAACUGCAAUACGACAGCAUAAUGGAAUGCUAAGCUACUAUAUCUCAAGUAAACAUGAUGUAAGUAUGAUGUACAUCUACUCUAUCAUAAGCAAGUACGUCCAAUGGCAACAAGUAAGUGCUACGGUCCAAUGUGUUAUACAUAAAGAAUGGCUCUAUCAAGCAACCAAGUGUACUAUGAUGCAAUGAAUGAAACAGGCAAGUAUACUAUAUAUCCCGGUGCUAUGUCAUGAGCAUGUCAAAGUAAUCCAACUGCUAAACCUAUUUAGUAUUGAUUAUAACACACUUAACACCGUGUCGAUUUCCAUUUCCAAUUAAGGGCCUACCCAUGGUAGUCCAGCUUGUGCCACCUAAGUGCCUGUGGUAGCCCAACAUUCCUACUCUUGGAAUGUGUCUGUCCCACUCGACCCCGUAGGCUUCUCAAUACCGCACGAGCGAAUAUAAGUCGCGUAGGCUAACUCCGGAGUGCCGGCUUGUGGGGAGCGACCCUCACAAGCAUGUGCGAAUGAGCACAAAUGGCAAGCAAGCAUAGGCAAUACCUCAAGUAUCCAAUCAUCAUGUCUCUAACAUGGUAUAGUCACUAGCAUCCCGAAGAUCUAGUUCUAAGUCACAAUGUGAAGUUCCAACACUUACCUUGCUUGGUGCCUCUUUAUGACACCUAAGCAUGUUAACCACUAAGUCCAUUUUAUGAUCUAUGAUUCAAGUAUGACAUUAAUACUAGGUUCAUCAUGUUCCGAGCCCAAUGCCCCUUGAUGACAUUGGCCAAAAAGUUCUCAAGUAAUACCAUUUCCCAAACCCCAUAAUAGCUCUAAAGUUACAUUGAGACUCAAAUAGGCAUAGGUUUAAAUGCAUGUAAGUAAUGCUCAAUGUCACAAUAGAAAUCAUGAUACCAAGUCUCCACAGGAUGCCAAAACAUGUACAAGUUCCAUAUGCUGAUUCUCUACUAUAUAGAGGUUCAAAGUUUCAUCAUACAUAACAUAGGUAUGUUAAGCAUCCUAAAAUUCACAAUAAAUGUAUUUAGCAUGGAAAUCCAUGAAUAACCACUUAACGAAGCAUAAACCACGAGUUAUGAGAAUUUCUCAUAAUAUAGGCUAGGUCAAACCCACCAAAAUCGAAACCUUCGUUUCGCCGAACGGAGGUAUCCACAAGCUUUCUAGUACCCUAGGAACAUCAAAAAUGGGGUUACCCAAACGAAACGAAGAGCCAAAAGCUCAAUCAUUAAGCAUCAAGCAAAAAAGGGCAAAACUCACCUCAAGAGUAAAAAUCCUCUCCUAAGCUCCAAAAGAGAGCUAGAAUCCUUCCAAUCCAACCCAAAGGAAGAUUCUAAUCCAACUAAUUUAGCUCCAAAAGCCCUAGAUUCAAAAUGCCCAAAAUAAGUCCUAAAACCUCAUUCUAGGGUUCGAACCAUCAAAAAGCAACAAAACUCAAAUCUAGAGGAAGAGAAUGAGCUACUAACCUUUUAGAAGCUUCCAACAAGGUUCUAAGUUCACCAAGUGUGGAGAUCUUCCUCCUCUCAAGCUCCAAUCCCAAGCUCCAAUGGUGGAAAAGCCUUCAACACCCAAAAAGGAGCAAAAAGAGAGGUUUUAAUCUCUCUAAAUCCAAAUAAAAAUCAAGGGAAUCAAAGGGGAGAGUGUGGAGGGCUUCCUUACCUCUCCUCUUGCUGCUGGUGAGCUUAGGGGAGGCUUCAAGGGCGUGGGUGAUGAUAUAAGAAGUCCACAAAUGCAAAAACACCCCUGCAGUUCAAACUGCACGAAAUCAGCCUCCUUGUACCGGUACACGGGCCCCUGUACCGGUACAAGACCCACGAAAAUCCCAACCCGAGGCUUGGGUUGUGGGGUUCAGCGGCUCUGUACCGGUACAAGCCCGGUGGCUGUACCGGUACAACCAUCAACCUUGUACCGGUACAGCCAUCAGCCUGUACCGGUACACAGCCUCCAAAAAUGCAAUCCGAGAGUUAACCAAAAAUCCGUUUUUUCGGAUUUUUGUGCCAGGCUUUAAACCUCACUUCUCGGAAUGCGAGCCAUAGGUCGGAACACUGUCAACGACCCACCAGAAAGUCUGGAAUUGCUCAGCACACAAUCAACCACUCGAACCUCGCAAUUUGCAAAGGUCCAGUGUGUUACAUUCACCCCUCCUAAAAAGGAGUUUCGUCCGCGAAACUAAAAAGCAAAGUACCUCAAGCAUCCAUCUGAAAAAGAUGGGGAUAGCGCUCCCGCAGUGCGCUCUCCAACUCCCAAGUGGCCUCGCGCUCGUCGUGGUUGCUCCAAAGCACCUUCCCGUAGGGGAUUUCCCGGUUCAGCAAUCUCUUUACCUCGCGAGCCAAAAUCCUCAAAGGUUGCUCCUCAAAGCUCAAGUCCUCCCUCAGCUCCAAAGGCGUAGCGUCCAAAACAUGAGCCGGGUCGUGGAUGUACUUCCGAAGGACCGAUACAUGGAAUACAUUGUGCACACCCGAUAGGUUCGGUGGUAGAGUAAGUCUAUAUGCUACCGGACCUACACAUUCCAAAACCUCAUACAGUCCAAUGUAUCGGGGGCUCAACUUACCCCUGAUUCUAAAUCUUCUAAUUCCUUUGGUCGGCGAGACUUUCAAGAACACAUGGUCUCCAAUCUGAAACUCCAAGUCCCGUCAACGCUUGUCAGCGUAACUCCUCUGCCUACUCUGGGCUGUCAACAGUCACUUCCGAGCAAUGCGAACCUUGUCCUCUGCUUCCUGGAGCACAUCGGGGCCUAAAGCCAUUCUGUCGCCAACUUCACUCCAAUGAAGUGGCGAUCUACAUUUCCGUCCAUAGAGUGCUUCGAACGGUGCCAUCUUGAUACUUGCUUGAUAACUGUUGUUAUAAGCAAACUCUGCCAUCGGUAGAUGCUGCGACCAUCCUCCCUGGAAGUCAAUCACGCAGGCUUCGAGCAUGUCCUCGAGAGUCUGUAUAGUACGCUCCGACUGCCCGUCACUCUGGGGGUGGAAAGCAGUGCUGAAGUCCAAGCGCGUAUCCAAAGCAUCCUGUAGACUCCUCCAAAAAUGAGAUACAAAUCGGGGGUCUCGAUCUGAUACUAUAGAAGUAGGUACCCCGUGCAAUCGCACAAUCUCAUCCAAAUAAACCUGUGCGAGUCUCUCACCAGUCCAAGUAGUGUGGAUAGGUAUGAAAUGUGCUGAUUUCGUCAAUCUGUCCACGAUCACCCAAAUAGCACCAUACCCGGCCUGUGAGCGAGGCAAUCCCAUCACAAAAUCCAUGGUGAUCUUCUCCCACUUCCACACUGGAAUCGGUAGGCUCUGCAACUUUUCCGCAGGAACUCGGUGCUCAGCUUUCACCUGUUGACAAGUUAAACAUCUGGCAACAAACUCACCAACUUCCUUUUUCAUCCCGGGCCACCAGUAAAGCAACCUCAAAUCCUUGUACAUCUUGGUGCCUCCCGGAUGUAUAGCAUACGGUACUCGGUGUGCUUCUUGAAGAAUAUCCUCUUUAAUGCCCAAGUCCGCCGGUACACACAACCGUCCGCAGAAUCGCAUCAAUCCAUCACCGUCUAAAGUGAAGUCACCGGUGCAACCAUCAACCAUCUUAGCUCGAAUCUUUUGCAACUCCACAUCGGAAGCUUGCUUUUCUAUAAUCCUUUCCAUAAGUGUAGGUUGCACUACCAAAGUCAUCAGCCUCAAAGGUGUAUUAGGAGCCACCACCUCCAACUCCAACCGCUUCAUCUGCUCGAUCAACGGCGGUUGAGUAACCACAAGCAUCGCUAAGUUCUCCGUCGAUUUCCGACUUAGCGCAUCCGCCACCACGUUUGCCUUGCCGGCUGGUAAAGAAUAGUCAAAUCAUAAUCCUUGAGCAGCUCCAACCAUCUGCGCUGCCUCAAGUUCAACUCAUUCUAAGUGAAUAGAUACUUUAAGCUCUUGUGAUCUGUAUAUACUUGUACCGCUCGCCGUAUAAAUAAUGGCGCCAUAGCUUUAAAGCAAAAACCACGGCCGCGAACUCCAAGUCGUGAGUGGGGUAAUUCCUUUCAUAAUCCUUUAAUUGGCGAGAUGCAUACGCGAUCACUUUCUCGUCCUGCAUCAAAACACAGCCCAAUCCAUUAAAGGAAGCAUCACUGCAAAUCAUAUACCCUGCUCCAGCAGUCGGCAAGGUAAGGAUCGGGGCGGUAGUCAGUCUCUGUUUCAACUCUUGGAAGCUCCUUUCGCACGCAUCAUUCCAAAUGAACUUGGUGCCCUUAUGCGUGAGCCUCGUGAGGGGAGUAGAUAACUUUGCAAAUCCCUCAACAAACCGUCGGUAGUAGCCGGCCAAACCAAUGAAGCUCCGUAUCUCGGUCACGCUCGUCGGCCUCGGCCAAUCCUUGAUAGCUUCAAUUUUCCUUGAAUCCACAACUAUCCCUGAUCCUGAAAUCACGUGGCCCAAAAAUGCCAUCUCUCUAAGCCAAAAUUCACACUUUUUCAGCUUGGCAUAGAGCUUCUUUUCCCAAAGCACUUGAAGUACAAGCCUUAAAUGCUCCUCGUGAUCCGCAUCACUCCGGGAAUACACUAAGAUGUCGUCGAUGAACACCACGACAAACCUGUCUAAAUAAGGCUUGAAAACACGGUUCAUUAGAUCCAUAAAAGCUGCCGGGGCAUUAGUAAGCCCAAACGGCAUAACGGUAAACUCAUAAUGUCCAUACCGUGUUCUAAAAGCCGUCUUCGAUACAUCCUCAGGUCUGAUCCUCAACUGGUGAUAUCCCGACUGCAAGUCGAUCUUGGAAUACACACAAGAUCCCUGGAGCUGAUCAAAUAGAUCAUCAAUCCUCGGUAAUGGAUACUUGUUCUUGAUCGUGACUUUGUUAAGUUCACGAUAGUCCACGCACAAACGAAGUGAUCCAUCCUUCUUCUUCACAAAUAAGACCGGUGCUCCCCAAGGCGACACACUCGGUCUCACGAAACCCUUGUCCAGAAGAUCCUGCAACUGUGCCUUCAGCUCUUUUAAUUUUGCUGGUGCCAUCCUAUAGGGUGCCUUUGAGAUUGGAGUAGUCCCGGGAAUGAGAUCUACUACAAACUCAAUCUCCCUAUCAGGUGGCAUGCCUGGAAGCUCCGCUGGAAACACAUCUCUAAUUUCCCGCACCACGGGGAUAUCCUCAAUCCUAGGGGCGUCAUCCUCACCCCGCGACACAAUAGUAGCCAAGUAGGCUACGCAACCUCUACUAAUAAACUGCCAAGCUCGAGAAGAGCUAAUCGUCAUCGCAAAAAGCGAACUCUGGCAUUGUCACGCCCCGGGACCGGCAGAGGCCCUCCCGGUAGCAUGCCAGACCCGCCAUAUGUCUACACAUAUAAGGCGUCUACAAGAAAAGCGGAAGUAAAAGCAAGAGAUGGAACAAAUAAGAGAAGUGAAAUAACAAGCAACUAAUAAUAUCAGAGCGAGUAAAGUUCUAACAUCUAUACUAAUAGUAAUAGAACAUAACUAAUGCGUAAAAGUAAACAUAAGCUAUACAGUAACAGCCUCUAGUACAAAAAUGGUGGUCUCUAGUACACUGGUAAAACUCUCAACCUCUCCAAAACAAAAUACGACGAGAGGUAGACCACCUAGCGAAUCGUUCUCGAAGGAAGCUAGCUCGAAGCAACUCCCUUCCCGCGGUCCCUGGCCUCACCCUGAGUGGAAGGCUCUGAAAAAUAUCGAGAAAAAGAGGGCGUGAGAACUAUAAUUUAUAGUUCCCAGUGGGCAAUUACUGACCUCAGCUCCUGCUCCACUAGGCCCCAAAAACAAGGGUAAAUAACGUUAAUAGCAAUAAGCAAUGAAAAGGAGCAUGUAAAUAAACUGCUGAAAGAGAAAGCAUAGGUAAAAUGCUAUACCACUAUACCCCACAUAAGCACGAUGUCAAAGUGUUGUACAUCUAUUCUAUCAUAAGGAAAAGUGACCAAUGGCAAUAGUUUACUGUUACAAACCUUUAUUCAUACGUGAUGUAUAAGCUCUAACAAGGCAACCAAGUAUACUGUGAUGAAAUAGGUAACUGUCAAGUAUACUACAUGUCUCAACCCUAUGCUAUANNNNNNNNNNNNNNNNNNNNNNNNNNNCAAAACUAACCUCAAGAGUAGAAAUCUCUUCCAAAGCUCCAAAAGAGAGCUAGAACCCUUCCAAUCCAAGCUUAAGGAAGGUUCUAAACCAAUCAAUCAAGCCUCAAAAGCCCUAGGUUCAAAAAGCCCAAAAUAAACCCUAAAUCCCAAAACUAGGGUUUCAAAACAAUAAAAUCCCAAAUCCAAGGUCUAGAUGGAGAGAAAUGGCUACCAACCUCAAAAAAACUUCAAUCCAAGCUCAAAGGGUGAAGAUCUUCUCCUUUGCAAGCUCCAAGUCCAAGCCUUCAAGCACCAAGGAGGAUGAGAGGGUGAGGAAGAUGCUCCAAGUCCACUAAUAGCUCCAAACUUCUUCUCCUUCCCUCCUUCUUCUCCUUCUCCUUCUUCUUCUUCUUCUCUAUCAAGGGUGUAGAGAGGGUUGAGAGAGGAGAAAUGAGGAGAAGAGAGGGUGGAGGGGUCAUAUAGACCCUCUAAUGUAACAAAAUCCAACCAGGCCCCUCAAAAAUCCAAUAUUACCACAGCCCGGUCUGGGCAGUUUUCGCCCAGAGGGACCGGUCUCUCCCCAGUAGGGACCGGUCUCUCGCUGCGAAUCCGAAAAACCAGCGUUCGGGAACCGGUCUCUCCCCGCGCAGGACCGGUCUCUCACUGCGAAGACGCGCUCGGGGACCUGUCUCGCCCGCCAGGGACCGGUUGCCUCAGGCUGCCUCAACACUGUUCACUGGGGGACCGGUCUCUCCUUCCAGGGACCGGUCCCCGAGAGUAAAAACUCUCAGGACUUAUCCAGAAUUCCAGAUUUUCGAACUUUUUAGGUCGGAAAACAUUCUACAACCCUCCACCAAGUGUGGAAAAGCUCAAAAUACACUCGAACCUCGCAAUUUGCAAAGGUCCAGUGUGUUACAGGCAUCCUCGAUACACAACCUCCGGCUGCCCCGGCUCUCUAAAUGUCACAGUUCGAUACUUACAAUCGAUAGUGGCGUAGAACUUAAUCAACCAAUCCAUGCCCAACACAACAUCAAACUCCCCAAGUUUAUGCAAGGCUAGCAAGUCCACGGGAAUGAUCCAAUCUCCAACCCGAACAGGGCAACUAGGGCAAAACUCCCGAAUGUCCAAAGAAUGGUCGGGUACAACAACUCGUCCCGGAUGCAGCAAGGAUACAAGUGGGAUGCUAUGCAACUCGACAAACAGCCGGUCUAUGAAUAAAUGCAAUGCACCGGUAUCAAAUAAAGCUCUAACUCGAAUACCAUAAAGUAAAAUGAUACCUGCGACCACAUUCUCGGCUGCCGCCACCUCCUCAGUCUGGGCCGCUUACAUGCGUCCGCUCGGGGCCUGUCGUGACACCUCCGCCUGCCGCUGAACUGGCGGCCGUCCUGCCUGGUGAUGUGCAGAGGAUGUCCCCUGACUGGGACCUGGCGAUGCUGGUGCAGAUGCCGAAGAUGGUGCUGGCGAUGGACUCCUCGGGCAGUCCGACUGGAAGUGGCCCUCCUGGCCACACAAGAAACACCUGCCCCGGCUGCGUGAACACUGUCGCGGGUAGUGGGGACCACCACAGAUCACGCAGCCGGGGGCCUGGCGACGAUCGGGUCCUCCUCGCUGAGUAGACGAGCCACGUCCUCGCGACUGGCCCCGGCUCCUAGGGUGCCUCGGCGGCCUCCGUGAGUGCGUCUGACUCGCACCCUCAGCCGCGGGCCUCUUUCCCUUCCCUUUUUCUGAGCUCUCACGACGCUCCUGCAAAUCCGCCGCUCUUGCCUCCACUAUCAAUGCUCGAUCCACAACCUCUCGGUAGGUCUAGAGAUUGGAGGACUGUACCAACCGAAAGAUAGAAGGCCGCAAUCCGCGCUCAAAAAUGCGGGCCUUAUCCUUAUCAUCCCUCACAACGAACGGUACACAGUGAAGUAGCCAGGAGAACUCCUUCUCGUACUCGGCCACUGUCCGCUCGUCCUGGCGCAAGCUGCGCAAAUCCUGCUCCUUCUUCUUCUUGACGCUGGUCGGGAAGUAGUGCGCCAGAAGAAGCUCCUUGAACCUCGUCCAAGUAAUCGCUGCCAAGUCGGUGUUGGGGUUGUCCUGGAUAUGCAACCACCAACGGUAGGCCUCGCCGUCGAGAAAGUGAGUGGCGAGCCAAACUCUGUCUCGCUCCUCCACAAAGGUGUCUCGAAAAAGCUUCAUGUGCAUCAACCACUUCUCAACAAUCCAGUGGUCGGCGUUCUCGCCAUCAAACGUCCUCGGGCUGCAUCUCCUGAACUCACUGAAGCGCUCCAUGAGCCGAUCCCGCUCGGCUCCCUCGGCCCUCACGGGGAAAGCUGCCCCCGUGGCCGGUCUCUGAGCUGGGUGUGCCGCAGCCACCUCCUCCCGAGGUGUGGUCGCCGGUGCCGCAAGGGAAGAACUGGGCGCGGGGGACUGCGCCCUCGGUGCGACGUCCACCACGGGUGCUGGCGGUGUGGGAACCUGGGUCUCCCUCGAAGCUGCCUCCUGCUGAAGUAGGAAGUCCUCAAGAUGCUUCAUCCGCGCCUUCUGCCGCUGAACCACAACGAACCUGUCUAAAUAAGGCUUGAAAACACGGUUCAUCAGAUCCAUAAAAGCUGCCGGGGCAUUAGUAAGCCCAAACGGCAUAACCGUAAACUCAUAAUGUCCAUACCGUGUUCUAAAAGCCGUCUUCGGUACAUCCUCAGGUCUGAUCCUCAACUGGUGAUAUCCCGACUGCAAAUCAAUCUUGGAAUAUACACAAGAUCCCUGGAGUUGAUCAAAUAGAUCGUCGAUCCUCGGUAAUGGAUACUUGUUCUUAAUCGUGACUUUAUUAAGUUCACAAUAAUCCACACACAAACGAAGUGAUCCAUCCUUCUUCUUCACAAAUAAGACCGGUGCUCCCCAAGGUGACACACUUGGUCGCACGAAGCCCUUAUCCAGAAGAUCUUGCAACUGUGCCUUCAGUUCCUUCAACUCCGCUGGUGCCAUCCUAUAGGGUGCCUUUGAGAUUGGGGUAGUCCCGGGGACGAGAUCUACCACAAACUCAAUCUCCCUAUCAGGAGGCAUGCCUGGAAGCUCCGCUGGAAACACAUCUCCAAACUCCCGCACUACGGGGAUAUCCUCAAUCCUAGGGGCGUCAUCCUCACCCCGCAACACAAUAGUAGCCAAAUAGGCAACGCAGCCUCUACUAAUCAACUGCCGAGCUCGAGAAGAGCUAAUCGUCAUCGCAAAUAGCGAACUCUGGCAUCCUCGGUACACAACCUCCGCCUGCCCCGGCUCUCUAAAUGUCACCGUUCGAUUCUUACAAUCGAUGGUGGCAAAGUACUUGGUCAGCCAAUCCAUGCCCAACACAACAUCAAACUCCCCGAGUUUGUGCAAAGCUAGCAAGUCCACGGGCAUGAUCCAAUCUCCAAUCCUAACAGGGCAACUGGGGCAAAACUCCCGAAUGUCUAAAGAAUGAUCGGGUACAACAACUCGGCCCGGAUGCAACAAGGAUACAAGUGGGAUGCCAUGCAGCUCGGCAAACAGCCGAUCAAUGAAUGAAUGCGAUGCACCGGUAUCAAACAAAGCUCUAGCUCGAAUACCAUAAAGUAAAAUGAUACCUGCGACCACAUUCUCGGCUGCCGCCGCCUCCUCAGUCUGGGCCGCGUACAUGCGCCCGCUCGGGGCCUGUCGUGACCCCUCCGUCUGCCGCUGGACAGGUGGCCGACCGGCCUGGUGAUGCGCAGAAGAUGUCCCCUGGCUGGGACCUGGCGAUGCUGGUGCAGAUGCCGCAGAUGGCGCUGGCAAUGGACUCCUCGGGCAGUCCGACUGGAAGUGGCCCUCCUGGCCACACAAGAAGCACCUGCCCCGGCUGCGUGAACACUGCCGCGGGUAAUGAGGACCGCCACAGAUCACGCAGCGGGGGGCCUGACGACGAUCGGGUCCUCCUCGCUGAGUAGACUGGCCACGUCCUCGCGACUGGCUCCGGCUCCUGGGAUGCCUCGGCGGCCUCCGUGAGUGCGUCUGACUCGCACCCUCAGCCGCUGGCCUCUUGCCCUUGCCCUUAUCUAGGGCCUCGCGUCGCUCCUAAAGAUCUGCCGCUCCAGCCUCCACUAUCAAAGCUCGAUCCACAACCUCCCGAUAAGUCUGGAGGUUGGAAGACUGCACCAACCGGAAGAUAGAAGGCCGCAAACCGUGCUCAAAGAUGCGGGCCUUAUCUUCGUCGUCCCUCACAACAAACGGUACACAGUGUAGUAUCCGGGAGAACUCCCUCUCGUACUCAGCCACUGACCGCUCAUCCUGGCGCAAGCUGCGCAAAUCCUGCUCCAUCUUCCUCUUGACACUGGUAGGAAAGUGGUGCGCCAGUAGAAGUUCCUUGAAUCGGGUCCAAGUAAUCGCUGCCAAGUCGGUGUUGGGGUUGUCCUGGAUAUCCAACCACCAACGAUAGGCCUCGUCGUCCAGGAAGUGAGUGGCGAGCCAAACUCUGUCCCGCUCCUCCACAAAAGUGUCUCGAAACAGCUUUUUCAUAUGCAUCAACCACUUCUCGACAAUCCAGUGGUCGACGUUCUCUCCAUCAAACGUCCUCGGGCUGCACCUCCUGAACUCGCUAAGGCGCUCCAUAAGCCGAUCCCGUUCGGCUCCCCCGGCCAUCACGGGAAAAGCUGCCCCCGUGGCCGGUCUCUGAACUGGUAGUGCCGCAGCCACCUCCUCCCGAGGUGCGGUCGCCGGUGCCGCACGUGAAGAACUAGGCGCGGGGGACUGGGCCCUCGGUGCGACGUCCACCGCGGGUGCUGGCGGUGUGGGGCCCUGGGUCUCCCUCGAAGCUGCCGCCUGCUGAAGUAGGAGGUCCUCAAGAUGCUUCAUCCGCGCCUCCUGCCGCUGAGCCACCUCAGCCUGUCGCUGCGCCGCCGCCGUCUGCUGCCCCAACAAAUUAGUGAGAACCGCAAGCUGGGCCCUCAAGUCACGGACCUCGCUAGAUCCGGAAGUAGCGGAGGUCUCGACCUCCUCGGGGUGUGCCGCAUCAUCCGCCCCGGCAGACUGGGAGCGUGUAAUCGGCAUCGUCACUACAAAACAUAAAAGCGCAAGUUAGUAACCCACGCUAUCGCAUCCCCGCUCAAAUAGAUAAAACCCCAAAUCAUGCGAAAGUAAGGAAGUGUCCUUCACUACUAACUCCCGAUGUUACGUUGUCGGCCGCCAACGUAACCCUCCGCGAAGUUAGAAGCCAUACACUCCGAUCAAACUCUAACUUUUUAGAGUUGUCAUAAACCCAAUCAUAAUACUUUCGCUCACAAGUCAAUUAGACCUCGUCUCUCACGAGCCUAAUUCCUAUAGUCCAACCGGCCUAAGGUUCGCUAGGUCCACUAAGACUCAACCCUAGGCUCUGAUACCAAAUUAAUCUGUCACGCCCCGGGACCGGCGGAGGCCCUCCCGGUAGCGUGCCCAGACCCGCCAUAUGUCUACACAUAUAAGGCGUCUACAAUAAAAGCGGAAGUAAAAGCAAGUAAUAAAACAAGUAGAAGAAGUGAAAUAACUAGCAACUAAUGAUAUCAGAGCAAAUAUAGUUCUAUCAUCUACACCAAGGUAAAGAAGUAAAGCUAGACAGUAAAAGGAGUCAUAAGAAGUACAAUAUCUGUCUCAAAUGUACAAAAAUGGUGGUCUCUAGUACACUGGUAAAACACUCAACCUCUCGCAAAAUAAAACAUAAAUCGAGAGGUGGACCACCUAGCAACUCGUCCUCGAAGGAAGCUAGCUCGAAGCAACUCCCUUCCCGCGAUCCCUGGCCUCACCCUGCGUGGAAGGCUCUGAAAAACAUCGAGAAAAAGAGGGCGUGAGAACUAUAAUUUAUAGUUCCCAGUGGGCAAUUACUGACCUCAGCUCAAUGCACCACUAGGCCCCAAAAGAAAAGGGUAAGUAACGACAAUAAUAAUAAACAAUAAAGAGCGAGUAUAAGAACUGCUGAAAGAAAGCAUAAAUGAAAUGCUAUACUACUAUGUCUCAAGUAAGCAUGAUGUCAUGGUGAUGUACAUCUACGCUAUCAUAAGAUAAUAUGUCCAAUGCAUAAAGAGUAAGCUCUAACCAAGCAACCGAGUAUACUACAAUGCAACAAUGAAACCGGCAAGUGUGCUAUAUGUACCAAUGCUAUAUCAUGAGCAUGUCAAAGUAAUCCAACUACUAAACCUAUCUAGUAGUGAUUGUUCAUACUCAACACCGUGUCGAUUUCCAUUUCCAAUUAAGGACCUACCAAAGGUAGUCCAGCUUGUGCCGCCUAAGUGCCUGUGGUAGCCCAACAUCCCUACUCUUGGAAUGUGUCUGUCCCACUCGACCCCGUAGGCUUCUCAAUACCGCACGAGCGAACAAAAGUCGCGUAGGCUAACUCCGGAGUGCCGGCUUGUAGGGAGCGACCCUCACAAGCAUGUGCGAAUGAGCACAAAUGGCAAGCAAGCAUAGUCCAAGUCUCAAGUAUCCAAUUCUCAUGUCUCUAACAUGGUAUAGUCACUAGCAUCCCGAAGAUCUAGUUUUAGUCACAAUGUGAAGUUUCAACAUUUGCUAUGCCUAGUACCCCUUGAUGACACUUAGGCAAUUUGAUGUUCAACAUGUUUUUCAAAUCCCUCAAUGGCCCUAUCUACUAGGUUCACACAUGUCCUGAGCUCAAUGCCGCUUGAUGACAUUAGCUCUCUAAUUCACAUACAUCUAAGUUUGAUGUCAAUAAAUGGCAACUUGUCAUUCAUCAUAUCUCAAAUAAACCUAAGUUUAAAUGCACAAAUUAAAGCCCAUUUACACUAUAGAAGCAUGAAACCAAGUCUCAUAUAGAAUGCCAAAUGCAACACUAGAUCUGUCCAGCAACUCUCUACUACAUAGAGGUCCGAAAAUUUUAUUACAUAUAACAUGGGCAUUUUAAGCAUUCUAAAAAUCGUAAUAAAUGUAUUUAGCAUGAACAUGCAUGAAUUAAUAGUAUACGAAACACUUAUCACCAAAUAUGAGGAUUUCUCAUAUUAUAGGCUAGGUCAAACCCACCGACGACAAUGAAGCUUUUCGUUUGCUCCAACGGAGAUAUCCCCUAGCUUCCUAGCACCCUAGGAACAUCAAAAAUGGUGUCAUCCAAUCAAUACGAAGAGCAAUAAGCUCAAUCUUUAACCUAGGAGCAAAAAGGGCCAAACUCACCUCAAGAGUAGAAAUCUUCUCCUAAGCUCCAAAAGAGAGCUAGGGUUCAUCCAAUCCAAGCCCAAGGAAGGUUCGAAACCAACCAAUCAAGCCUCAAAAGCCCUAGGUUCAAAAAGUCCAAAAUAAACCCUAAGUCCCAAAACUAGGGUUUCAUCUCAAAGAAAGCUCUAAAAUCCAAAACUAGAGGAAAGGAUCUUGCCACUUACCUCUUAGAAGCCUCAAAACCAGCUCAAAGUCCUCAAACUUCAAGUAGCUUCCCUCAAUAAAACUCCAAACCCAAGCUCCAAGCUCCAACAAUGGUGGAAAUAGCUUCAAUAGGGAAAAAGAGAGGAAAAUCCAUCAAAAUCCAAGAAAUUGGAGAUCAAAUCCAAGUAGGGGAAAAGAGGGGCUCCCUACCUUGCUCCUCCUCAGGUUCCAGCACAAGAGAGGCCCUAUGGGCGUGGGUGCUGUUAUAACGGUGUCACAAUCGCAAAUAAGCCCCUGCAGAACAAACUGCUCAAAAUCUGCCGCCUUGUACCGGUACACGGGCCCUUGUACCGGUACAAGGUCCACGAAAUCCAAACCCGAGGCUCGGGUUGCGCUGUUCUGCGGCACUGUACCGGUACAAGCUCCGAUGGCUAUACCGGUACAACCAUCAACCCUUGUACCGGUACAAGCACAACCUUGUACCGGUACAAGCCUGCCAGAACUCAAUCCGAGAGCUGACCAAAAUCCAAAUUUUUGGGUUUCGGUGCAAGGCUUUGUACCACACUCCUCGGGACGCGUGCCAUAAGUCGGAACACAGUCAACGACCUACCAGAAAAUCUGGAAAAGCUCAGAGCACAGCUAAUCACCCGAACCUCGCAAUUUGCAAAGGUCCAGUGUGUUACAGUCCCGCAGACGGUCUCGGUGUGCGAGUGCAGAUUCUCCUCACCUAUGAGAUUGAAAGUGAGUCGGGGUUAACCCCGGGGUGGCAACCUUCGGGUUAGCCAUGAGAUUGGAUACUAUCGAGGCAUAGUUGCACGACGCACUAUGUAGUAGCUCGUUCAUUUGGAUUAUUGAGGCAUAGUAGCAUGUGCAGAUACAUCACUAUAUAGCAGCUCAUUUCUUUAUUGUUGAGACAUAGUAGCAUGUUGUAGAUACAUCACUAUGUAGUAGCUCAUUUCUAUUGUUGUUGAAGCAUAGUAUCAUGAUUAGUAGAAUAUCAUUGCUAUGUUCAUGCAUUCCAUGAUUACAGAGGCAUAGUAGCAUGUGUAUAUUCCAUUACUAUGUAGCAGCUCGUACUUAGUAGAGCGAGAUUGAGUCGGGCGAGGAGCGGGGUAGCUCUUUGCCUAGGACCUUCGAGAUUGAGUCGGGCAAGGAGCGGGGUAGCUCUUUGUCUAGGACCUUUGAGAUUUGAGAUCUUAGGCAAGUUGGCCUAGUCGAUUGGGUUGUAACAUGAAUAGCAUAAGUGGAUUGCAUUCAUGCCAUGAUUGGACAUAGUAGACUGCAUAACUAUGUUGUAGUUGUAUUUAUUACACUGUUGAAGCAUACUAGCAUGAUAGUAGGUUAUUGCUAGAUGAUGUUCCAUGCAUUCUUUGCAUUUGAUGGCAUAGUAGAUAUAGUAGCAAUGUAUUUCUAUCUACCUUUCUAUCUAUCUAUCUGUGCCAGCUUGGACCUAGUGGGAAAACCGGCGGCGUCGGCGGCCGAACCCACUGGGAACUAUAUUUAUAUAGUUCUCACCCCGUGUGGUUUUGGGGUAUAGGUACACACGAGAGCGUACCGGCAGAGGACCGUGGUAAGGGCACAGCGCCCUAGUAGCUAGUAGCUUUCCUUAUGCAUUAGAGUGCCCUCGUGUACAUAGAGAUGUAAAUGUAUUUGGAAGUUACUUAUGUAUUUGGAAAGACAUUUUGUAUUAUGAGAAUAAUAUGUAUUCAUUUGGGAAGAUGAAAAUGUAAAUCAAUAUGAAAAUUGAGGUUGAAUGAAUGUAAUAGCUAGAUGUAUCUCUCUUUAUUUCACUUGUAUGUUACUUGUGAUUCUUGCUCUUAGAUGUAUUGCACCUGUGUGCAUCGUGUUCGAUCAUGUAUGUUAUUUAAGCAUUCCCUGGGCGCUUAACUGUACAUGAUCUGGUUGCUUAGCCUUGGGCGGACAGGAGAGGUGCUGUCCGUUCGGCGUCUGAUCGACGUGCCCGGAUCUUGCCAAAUUGGCGGGUCGCGGGGCGUGACAGAUGGUCGUGGUAUCAGAGCAAGCUAAGAGCAAGUAAAGAGAGAGUUUAGGAUGACCUAGGAGACCCUAGGACAGUAAACCGUAAGGUUAUAGGUGCGUGAGUGGAACGUGAACCUAUAACGGUGGCGGAAGUUGAAUCGAUUGGGUCAAGUUAGUAAACCUCUAAGACAGAUGUUAGAGGUGGAUUCAAGGUUCAAUUUAUUCUCACUAGAGGAUGUUCAUGUUGGAUGCAUACAACAUGAAACCGAGAGAUGAGAAUAGGCACCCUUGUAUGACUUUCGCCUGAUUUGAGUCAAGCUGAUGUUAGUUGUUACGUGUUCGACCUAGAGGGUCGAGACCAACUGUGUUGUCGCGGUUUAGGAGAUCGACAAUGGUACCGCGUAGGCGAUCUUCGUUUAGAUCGGCGCGGGACGGGACAAGUGAUGUCCCAGAACGAUUCAAGCGAGCGGAGAAUGCAAACUUCGCUAUUGGUUGGCCACGCUCGUGGGAGUGAUGAGGCCACGAGUCGGUGGAUCGGUUGGCGAUCGCACCAGUUUUGGCACGUCGAGUACGGCCGGGAUUCGCGACGGAGGUGUUUCCGUCGGGGUCGGGCAAUCCGACUUCUAGCACUCCAAAGGUUGAGGCGGUGAGGGAGCGAGCGUCGAUGGCCCUCAUGAUUUUUACGGAAUUUGAUCCGCCUACCUUUGAUGGAGAGAAUGUAGAUCCGCAGAUUGUGGAGUUGUGGAUUGAUUCCAUGGAAACUCUAAUAGAGGAUCUAUGCUUAGUGCAAACGGGAGUUCUCCCAUAUCUCCAGUUACAUCCUAAACAUAGUACGGGAUGACGACGAUAUGGCCGAUUUGUUUGUGCGGAGACUUCGGCUAAAUAUUGUCAAGGUUGUGCAUGUAAGGAAGUGAAUUCUCGAAAUUUGAGAGUUUGACUUCGUUUAAAAUCGACCAUGUGUCGAGUUGGUGCACUUCGGAAUGUCCGAAAAUGCCAAAGAGGCAAAGAGUGCAUCGUAACGGACCUCGCCUUUCCCGUCUGUUGCAUCGGCUUUGGCGAUUUCGGGCCAUUAUGAAGGAGCCCUACCUACUGUUGCUUUAGCUAGACGCGCGAUGGCACCUCGUCAGCCAGAGGUGGCCCGUCGACUACGAGUGGCUGGGUGUUUGCCACUCAAGUCGAGGAACUUGCUGCCGCUAAUGAUGUCUUGGUAGGUAUGGCUUAAUACAAGCAAGCAGGUAUUUCGGCGUAAUGCGGAAUAGAUGCAUUGCAGACAUUUCCAUGGUCAGUUGCUACUAAUUAUGCAUUAGUAUAGUAGGGACCAGUGGANUCUUGCUUCUUCUUCUUCUUCUCCAAGCCCUAGAGCAAGAGUUCUAGAGAGAGAAAGAGAGGAAAAGGGAGAGAAGGGUAAAAUGGCUGUGGGAGAGAGAGGGGUGUCCACAUAUAGUGUUGUGACAAUUGCAUUUAAGCCCCUCAACUUAUUUCCCCUUGAUCUGCCCAGACUGGGCGUUUUUCGCCUUCGGGGACCAGUCUCCCCGACCAGGGACCGGUUCCCGAACGUGGGUGUUCCAGGACUUAGCCAAAUUUUCUAGUCUUUCGGCUGUUGCACAGCGAGGGACCGGUCUGCCCCUUCAGGGACCGGUCUCCCAAGGACCGGUCUCACUACCAGGGACCGGUUGCCUCAAGACUUCCUGGCAGGCUACGCGUACGGGGACCGGUCUCUCCUUCAGGGACCGGUCCCCGAGAGCACAAAAUCUGGGACUUAGCCAGAUUUCCAGAUUACUCUCUCGGGUCCCUUUUAGCCUCACUUAUGGACUCUAAUGUGCUCAUGGUCCACUCAAACUCAUUCAUCUCCGCAGUCCGCUCAUUUCGACGGAACUCGGCACGAUUUACGAGGGAUGUGGUAUGUUACAUGGAGGAAGUAGCACCAAGGAGUAAAAGAGAAGAUCAAACCACUAAAUAUCAUGCAAAAAGGGGAUCAAAUCCAAAGAGGGGAAAACAGGAGGUCCCCUACCUUGUCUCCACUGCCUCUCAGCUCAGGGAAGGCCCUAAGGAGCGUGGGGUAUGUAUAGAGUUGCUACAAAAGCGAAUACACCCCUCAAAGCUGCAGUUCUCGCAGUCUGCCAAAGUGUAGCGGUACACGGAAAAGUGUACCGGUACAAAUCCCGCGAACUCACAAACCCGACCUUCGGGUUGGCUAAAAACCACAAAUGUACCGGUACAACUAUCAAAGUGUACUGGUACAAAAUGUGUUCCAGUACAACCAUCAAGAUUGUACCGAUACACAACCCUGCUGAAGCAAACCCGAGAGCAAACCAAACAUUCAACUUUUUGGAUUUUGGUGCACAGUUAUAAACCUCAAUUCUCGGGAUGUGAGCCAUAGGUCGGAACACUGUCUACGACCCUCCAGAAUAUCUGGAAAAACUCAGAUCACAGAUUAAACAAUCGAACCUUGCAAUUUGCAAAAAUCCAGUGUGUUACAUUCUCCCCUCCUUAAAAGGAGUUUCGUCCGCGAAACUGCGGGUCAACCACGAAACAGACCCAUCCAAAAAGGAUGGAAGAAGCGCUCCAACAGCGCAUAGAUCAGACCAUGAAGGUCUCAAGCAUGACGGAAUGCUCCUCGGCAAAACACACAAGGUCCCACGAUGCCAAGACUUGGCAUAACUCAAGUAAAGCUUCCACUGAAGUUCUUCGAACUCAAGGCUUUACCGGAAGUUCCAUCUCUAGUCCGUGCCUGAUCACCAAGUCCAUCAGUCGGUUCUCACGAAACCAAGUAUUCCCAAAAGCUGAAUUCUCGUUCUCACCUUCCUCGUUCAAGUCGAGGGUAGGCCUUGCUCUGCUUCAAUUACUCUAGUAUAUAGAAUUCCAUCCAAAUACCUGUAGGAUACCGAACUUCUAAAAUUAUGAAGUUACGGUGGGAUGUAAUAUGCGGAUUUUAAUGUAAAAAGGGAAAUAAAUAAAAAUAGUAUGAGAUACUAUUUUUAUUAGAUUUAGAGAAGUGAAAUAUAAGUUUGGAAUGACCCGUGUUGAAAUCAGAGCGAAAACAGAAGAUUUAGAUUUUCUGUGAGAAACGGGGCAGAUAAAUUAGCAGAAAAUGCACAGUCUCAGAAAAUUAUGAAAACUAGCGGGGAUGCCAGAAAUAUUUUAAUGAGGCUAGAUUUAGAGUUUCAUAUUUUUCUGACACCCGUAGAGUGAGAACUAAAAUCCGACAGUUAUCUGAUAAAGAUUACAGUUCGGUACAGCUUUCGGUGACCAAACGGGGUCGAAACUGAAAGAUUAAAAUUUCUUUCGUUAAGUUAAGCAAAACCGAAUAUGACUGUCAAAUUUGAGCUCAAACGGAUAUUCAGGGAGUUCCGGCGAAAGAUAUCAGAUUUGGAGCUGCCUGAUGUGAAUAGUGUAUGCUACUAUUGAGGGUUGACUAUAAGUAGAAGCUUCUAGUGACUUGGCUUCUUCUUCACAGCCAAGCACCACCCCCACAAGAGCACGUUCAUGGUGUAGUGAGAGAAACCCUCUCUUUCUCUCUCUAAAUAUCUCUCUCAUCUCUCUAGAUCUUUCGCCCAAAUUCGCGGCGUUGGUGGAGAUCGAGCUUGCGAACGCGUUGGGAGCGACGGAUCGAGUUUUCGUGCGCCCGUUGGAUUGGCGUGCUUUCGUCUCGGCGUUCAUAUUUUGGUAAGCUAUCGGGAUUUGGCUUAAUCCUUAAGUUUAAGUGUUCUAAUAGCCUCUAAUGUGAAGUUAGCUUGUUAAAUCCUUAAUAUUUGGAUUGUUUGGAGCAUAUGUUGAGGCUAAGGUGUGAAAAUGGGGGUUUACAAAUUAGGUGGGGUUUGAUCUAAUUUGACCCUUCGUAAACCUAAUUGCUAGGUAAACGAACGCGUUGGUGAAGUCGGUUCGGCGAUUCGUCGAGCCUACGCGAAGUUAUUAAAGAAACAGACGUUUAGGCUUCGUUUCCGCCUGGAGGGCCGAGGCGACGUCGUAAAAUCAUGAAAAUGGAUUUGAAGCAUCGUGGCACAUAACCGAAGACCUUUAAUUUUCGGAUCGUGAAUUGGAGGCCGUUCGGGUGGUCGCGCGAGAGAUCGGGCCAAACCGGGUGCCGGGUGCCGCGGGAGGCCGAUUGCAAGUGUCGACAAGCAAUCGGAAUGCGAUAAAAGGUGGGGGGUGUCAUCCCGAAGCAACUGAGCUUCCUUUUAUGUCUAAGUUCUAUAUCUUGAUCAUAUUCCUAUAUGUUGAUAUAUUGUGCAUUAUAGGAUUAGUAGAUGAUUACAUUUCCAUUCCUUGCAUGUUACCUAGGUUGUGUAGCAUUGUGGGCUUGACACUUGAUCUUAGGUUGCAUGAGGAUUGGGUCUUGUGACAAGAAUCCUAUAGUGACAAGAAUGAUGAUGAACUUGGACAUGUAAUUGGCCUAGACGAGUGGCAUUUGGACUAGUGUAACAAAGACACUAUAAUAUUGACGAGUGGCAUGUCGAUUUAGUGUAUUAAGACACAUAUAACAUCAUGACAUAAACGAGUGGCAUCAAAUCUAGUGUAGUGAAACACUAUGGCAUUUGAACCUAGGGAUAGUAGAUUUUCCCGAUUGUCAUGUUGUAGACAUUAUGCAUUUGGCAUUAGUGCAUUUGAGGCAUUGAUUAUGCAUUUGGUAUUGUGCAGCAGAGGCACAUUGACCCUGGUAGAUAGGGUAUCCUCUUGUGAGGAUUGGAUCAUACUCACUAGUCUGUUUUUGCUUGUCGGUGGUCGCUCCACCGAAGCACGAGUCUCCGGAGUACUUCACUAGGGGCAGACGUAGUUGUCCCGCAGACGGUCUCGGUGUGCGAGUGCAGAUUCUCCUCACCUAUGAGAUUGAGAGUGAGUCGGGGUUGACCCCGGGGUGGCAACCUUCAGGUUAGCCAUGAGAUUGGAUACUAUCGAGGCAUAGUUGCACGACGCACUAUGUAGUAGCUCGUUCAUUCGGAUUAUUGAGGCAUAGUAGCAUGUGCAGAUACAUCACUAUGUAGUAGCUCAUUUCCAAGCAGAUUGGGUAAAGAAUAUGAAUGGCAUAGCAGAUUUGCAUUCAUACCUUGAGUUGACAUUGAGACAUAGUAGCAUGUUGUAGAUACAUCACUAUGUAGUAGCUCAUUUCCAUUAUUGUUGAAGCAUAGUAUCAUGAUUAGUAGAAUAUCAUUGCUAUGUUCAUGCAUUCCAUGAUUACAGAGGCAUAGUAGCAUGUGUAUAUUCCAUUACUAUGUAGCAGCUCGUACUUAGUAGAGCGAGAUUGAGUCGGGCGAGGAGCGGGGUAGCUCUUUGCCUAGGACCUUCGAGAUUGAGUCGGGCAAGGAGCGGGGUAGCUCUUUGUCUAGGACCUUUGAGAUUUGAGAUCUUAGGCAAGUUGGCCUAGUCGAUUGGGUUGUAACAUGAAUAGCAUAAGUGGAUUGCAUUCAUGCCAUGAUUGGACAUAGUAGACUGCAUAACUAUGUUGUAGUUGUAUUUAUUACACUGUUGAAGCAUACUAGCAUGAUAGUAGGUUAUUGCUAGAUGAUGUUCCAUGCAUUCUUUGCAUUUGAUGGCAUAGUAGAUAUAGUAGCAAUGUAUUUCUAUCUACCUUUCUAUCUAUCUAUCUGUGCCAGCUUAGACCUAGUGGGAAAACCGGCGGCGUCGGCGGCCGAACCCACUGGGAACUAUAUUUAUAUAGUUCUCACCCCGUGUGGUUUUGGGGUACAGGUACACACAGGAGCGUACCGGCAGAGGACCGUGGUAAGGGCACAGCGCCCUAGUAGCUAGUAGCUUUCCUUAUGCAUUAGAGUACCCUCGUGUACAUAGAGAUGUAAAUGUAUUUGGAAGUUACUUAUGUAUUUGGAAAGACAUUUUGUAUUAUGAGAAUAAUAUGUAUUCAUUUGGAAAGAUGAAAAUGUAAAUCAAUAUGAAAAAAAUGAGGUUGAAUGAAUGUAAUAGCUAGAUGUAUCUCUCUUUAUUUCACUUGUAUGUUACUUGUGAUUCUUGCUCUUAGAUGUAUUGCACCUGUGUGCAUCGUGUUCGAUCAUGUAUGUUAUUUAAGCAUUCCCUGGGCGCUUAACUGUAUAUGAUCUGGUUGCUUAGCCUUGGGCGGACAGGAGAGGUGCUGUUCGUUCGGCGUCUGAUCGACGUGCCCGGAUCUGGCCAAAUUGGCGGGUCGCGGGGCGUGACAAUACCCCUCAAGGGUGGAUUCCAUGGUGUUGUCCAAAGCAAGCGUAAGGGGGUUAAAUCCAUUACUCAUCUAUCAAAACUCCAUCGAAGUGCUCAUCUGAUCAACACUUCCCAAGGAGAGGUGAUGCAACAUCCACUCAUCGGCUCAUAUUCCAACGAUGAUCCUUCAAAUCCAAGAUCAAGUCUCUUCUCGAGAUGGCACAACUGAGUGCAAUUCAAUCCAAGGUUAAGUAUGGUAUACCCUUUCCAUCUCGUUGCUAUUUGCAACGUCCAUCCAUCCAUCCAAUCUUGCUUGGCGCGAACGGUUCCAAAUCAACAUCCGAGGUAGCCAUCCUUCCAAUAGUAACUGGAAUCGACUCAUCGUCCAAACUCGCUCAUCAUGGCGAUUAUUUAAUUCCUCAAUCGACACAGCACUACGAUGCCUCCACAUCAAUCUCAAACUCACCACUCGGGAGUACCCUCAAAUCCGCUGCAAUACAUGGUCAGGGACCAAAGCUCAGGAGCUUCGUCAUUCCACUAAGAUCAUCAUCUUAGUCUCAACUCAAGUCCAAGUAAACUCUUCGCAAGCCUAAGCCAAAGGCUCAACUUCGAUAGAAUGUCUCAUACAUUAAUCAUUCAGUUGCUCCAUAAGAAUCAUUCAAAAAUUUUCAUCCUCAAUGCUUUCCUUAGCAUCGGAUGCUCCAAGUGUUCAUAGUCACCGAGCCCAUCUCAAGUGAUAGAGAGGGAUCAAUCCGCAAUUCAAUAAUAGCUCUCUAUCAAUGUCAUCCUAAUGUGACCAUCAACCAAAGAUACGAAUCCAACAACUCUCUCACGCAGUUCCAUCCCCCAGAUUUUAAUUCCUAGUGCAUAAACUGGGCAAGGGGAAAAAUAGCAACUUGGUAUUUUUUCCUCUCGAGUUUCUCAACCACUCGAUCCAACAGUGGGAGUUUCACACAUCGAUCAUGUCAAUCUGCCCCACAGUCGGCCCUCGCAAUCCUUCGUAGGAAUACUCACUGCUAUCCACGACCGGUUCCACAAAUCCAUCCAAAGGGCUUGGAAUUAUCAUUCCAUAAGUCCCUAACACUGGUGGAGUACUACAGGCUUAGGCAACAUCACCCUCGUGAUGUCCCCACCUAGCAUCACAAUCCGUUUUGAGGUACGACCUCAAACUCCAACAUCAAACAGUACUACUCAGAUUGCUUACAAUCUUAUCGAGUACACCAACAACUUGAGGCCAUUUGACAAGGUCAAUGAGCCUCAGCACGGUCCAAAUAUCCAAUCGUGGUUCAAUUUGAAUCACGAUAGUCGACAUACAGUCGAAACGGCCCAACCGGUCCCACAACAAGUGAAAGUGCUCCUCCGCAAGCAAAACACUAACUAUAAAACCUCCCCGCCAAUCGAGUUCACAGUUUGUGACUCGGUCGGAGACACAACGACAGAUCAAAGACAUCCUUCAUUCCGAGGAUCCUUGAUCACCAGAAACUAAUGGCCAAUUAGGCCCCAAAUCCUCUCCAACACUUACCCAAUUUUAGAUAAGGGAGACAGUCAAUGCUACUAGUGGAAAUAAAUCCUCAAAUCGCACUAUUUCAUGCUCAAAAUCCUCGAAGCUAGUCAAGUCAGCUCGCAAUACCAAAGGUACCAAGUACCUAUAAUCUCCACACCAAGUAAGGCCAAUCCAUUUGUUGGCGUACAAAAUCCUCUCAAAGGGUAGGGUGUUCAAAAUGACACACCCGGUCUUCCGAUCAUCCUACAUGCAUCGAAAAUGAUCAAUGCAAACAAAUCCUCGGGUCGGGUCACUACACACUCGGUGUAUCCUCGAUCCCAUGAUCUAACACGUGGCAUACCACACUCCUGGGUCUAAGCUCAGACUACCGUCCUGACCAAAACUCUGCCCUACCCGUAGGUACCGGGCUGCUGUCGUACACAGCUGACUGCGCCUGCCCAAAGGGCCCAGGCUCCAUAGUCUACAAACGGUCCAGGCACGGGACGUCCCCAAGCUCCAACCGGCAAACAGCCGACCAAGGGAUGCAAACAAUACAAUCAUCGUGAGAUCCACAAAGCAUAGCAAAACAUGCUACCCGCAACCCGCAAAUCAACCUCCUAACUCGGGAGGUGCCAAUCAUCAUCGCAAACAGCGAUCAAACGGUAUGCCAUACAACUCGGCGAAUAGCCGAUCAAAGAAUAGAUGCAAUGCACUGGUAUAAAAUAAUGCACAAAUCGAAUGCCACAAAACAGACAGAUACCUGUAGCCACAAGCUCGGCUGCUGCCGCCUCCGCGGUCUGGGCUGCAUACAUGCGCCCGAUCGGGGCCUGCCGUGACCCCUCCGUCUGUCUCUGGACAGGUGGCCUCCCGGCCUGAUUGUGAGUAGAAGGCGUCCCCUGGCUGGGACCCGGUAACACUGGUGCUGAUGCAGAAGAUGGCCCUAGUACUGAACCCCUCGGGCAGUCCGACUGGAUGUAGCCCUCCUGACCACACAAGUAACACCUGCCCUGCCUCUAAGAGCACUAUCGUGGGUAAUGACGACCACCGCAGAUCACGUAACUUAGAGUCUGGCGACGCUCAGAUCCUCCACGCUGUGCAGAUGAGCCACGUCCUCGCGAUUGGCUCCUGUUCCUAGAAUAUCUCGGCGGCCUCCCAGAGUGCGUCUGACUCGCACCCUCAGCCGCAGGCCUCUUGCCUUUUCCUUUGUCCGAGCCUCUUCGACGCUCUUGCAAGUCCGCCGCGCCGCUCUUCACGAUGAACGCGCGGUUCACCACAUCUCAGUAAGUCUGAAGGUUGGAGGAUUGCACCAACCAAAAGAUCGAUGGCCGUAGUCCUCGCUCAAAGAUGCGGGCCUUGUCCUCGUCAUCCCGCACAACGAAGGGCACAUAGUGUAAAAGCCGAGAGAACUCCCUCUCAUACUCGGUCACAGUCCUAUCCUCCUGGCGCAUAUUGCGCAGAUCCUGCUCCAUCUUCCUCUUGACACUGUCGGGGAAGUAGUGCUCUAACAGAAGUUCCUUGAACUUCUUCCACGUAAUCGCCGCAAGGUCGGUGUUGGGGUUGUCCUGGAUACCCAACCACCAGCUGUAGGCCUCGCCGUCCAAAUAGUGAAUAGCGAGCCAAACUCUGUCCCUCUCCUCCACGAAAGUGUCGCGGAAUAACUUCUCCAUGUGCAUCAACCACUUCUCAACGAUCCAGUGGUCGGCUUUCUUUCCAUCGAAGAUCCUGGGGCUACACCUCCUGAACUCAUUGAGGCGAUUCAUGAGCCGCUCCUGCUCCGCCCCCUCAACCAUCAUGGGAAAAACCGCCACUGCCACAGGCACCUGUGCUGGUGGUGCCGCAAAUACCUUCUCCCGAGGUGCUACCGCAAAUGCCGUCGGCAAAGUGCCGAGUGCAGGGGACGACCCCCUAGGUGCAACCGUCUCUACCGGCGCUGGUGGUACAGGGGCCUGAGUCUCCCUGGCAGCCGCCUGCUGUAGUAGAAGAUCCUAUAGGCGCUGCAUCCGUGCCUCCUGCCAGUGCGCCGCAUCUGCAUGCUGUCGAGCCGCCGCCACCUGCUGCGUCACCAAGUCAGUGAGGGCCACAAGCUGGCUCCUCAACUCACGGACCUCGCCAAAUCCGAAGGUAGCGGAUGUCUCCGCCUCCUCAAAGGUUGCCGCGUCGUACGCUCCAACAGACUUAGAGCGUACAGUCAGCAUCAUCACAUCAACAUCAUAAAAGCGCAAGUUAAUAAAACCCACGCUAUCGCAACCCCACUCAAAUACCAAUGCCCAAAUCCUACGAAAGUAAGGAAGUGUCUUAUACUGCUAACUCCCGAUGUUACGUUGUCGGCCACCAACGUAACCCUCCGCGUAGUUAGAAGCCAUACACUUCAAUCGAACUCCAACUUCUUGGAGUUAUCAAAGAAACCCAAUCAUGAUACUUUCGCUUACAAAUCAAAUAGACCUCGUCUCUCACGAGUCUAAUUCCUAUAGUCCAAUCGGCCUAAGAUUUGCUAGGUCCGCUAAGACUCAACCCUAGGCUCUGAUACCAAAUUAAUCUGUCACGCCCCGGGACCAGGCGUAGGCCCGCCCGGUGCGUGCCCAGACCCGCCAUAUGUCUGCACAUAUAAGGCGUCUACAACAAAAACGGAUAAAUGAACAAGAAGUUGAAAGUAUCUAGAGAUAUUAGAGCAAAUACACAGCUAGGUUCUAUCGACAAGUAGAGUCAAAAAGAGAACUGAACCACUAAAGCAUAAAGUAAACUAAUACAUCAUAAAUCUCAAGAUACAAAAAUAGGGUGGUCUCUAUAACCAGGAACAAAACUCUCACAACCUCUCCAAAAGAAAACAAAAGAGAGGUGGACCACCUAUCACCAAGUCCCUCGAUAGCUAACUCGAGGCGAAAUCUUUUCUGCGAUCCCAAGCCUCUUCCGGAGUGGAAGUGUCACGCCCCGGGACAAGCGAAGGCCCUCCCGGUAGCGCGCCCAGACCCGCCAUAUGUCUACACAUAUAAGGCGUCUACAACAAAGGCGGAAGUAAAGCAAGAAGUAGAACAAAUAGCAUAAUGAUAACUAAUGAUAUCAGAGCGAGUAAAGUUCUAUCAUCUAAACCAGAGUAAAAGAAACAUAACUAAACAAUAAAAGUAGCCAUAAAGUAGUACAAUACUAUCUCCUCAAAAGGAAAACAAUGAUCCAAAAGAAUGGUGGUCUCUAUACAUAAACGGGUACAACUCACAACCUCUCACAAAAUAAACCACGAGAGGUAGACCACCUAUCAAAUCGUCCUCGAAGGAAGCUAGCUCGAAGCAACUCCCUUCCCGCGGUCCCUAGCCUCUCCCGACGUGGAAGGCUCUGAAAGAAGACAUAAAACAGAGGGCGUGAGAACUAUAAUUUAUAGUUCCCAGUGGGCAAUUACUGACCUCAGCUCAUUGCACCACUAGGCCCAAAAGAAAAGGGGUAAGUAACGACAAAUAGUGAUAAGCGAUAAUUGGCGAGUAUAAAAACUGCUGAAAGGAAGCAUGAAUGAAAUGCUAUACUACUAUGUCUCCAAUAAGCAUGAUGUCAUGGUGAUGUACAUCUACGCUAUCAUAAGGUAAUAUAUCCAAUGCAUACUAAUAUGCCUCAACAUGAUGAACAAGUAAACCUCACAAUACAAUAUAUCAAGACAACCCAGUAUACUAUGAUGCAAUGCAUGAAACCGGCAAGAGUACUAUAUAGCCCAAUGCUAUAUCAUGAGCAUGUCAAGUAAUCUAACUACUAAGCCUAUCUAGUAGUGAUUAUUCAUCCUCAACACUGUGUCGAUUUCCUUUUCCAAUUAAGGACCUACCAAAGGUAGUCCAGCUUGUGCCGCCUAAGUGCCUGUGGUAGCCCAACAUCCCUACUCUUGGAAUAUGUCUGUCCCACUCGACCCCGUAGGCUUCUCAAUACCGCACGAGCGAACAUAGGUCGCGUAGGCUAACUCCGGAGUGUCGGCUUGUAGGGAGCGACCAUCACAAGCAUGUGCGAAUGAGCACAAAUGGCAAGCAAGCAUAGUCCAAGUCUCAAGUAUCCAGUCCUCAUGUCUCUAACCUGGUAUAGCCACUAGCAUCUCGAAGAUCUAGUUCUAAGUCACAAAUGAAGUUCCAAUAUUCUCUAAGUCUAGUUGUCACGCCCCGGGACCGAUACCAAUUUGGCCCGAUCCGAGCACGUCAAACAGACGCCGAACGGACAGAGUUUUCCCUAUCCGCCCAAGGCUCAUCACAUGUACAUUUUCAUCAAUAGAGAAAAGCACUAGCGGAAACAUACAUAAACGGCUUACACGAGGGUAAGCAAUAGCCAUUAGUGAAAGAAAGGAAAACUAAACAUCUACGCAAGUAACAUGAUUCAUUUUAGAUCAUAUACAUUGCAUUCAUAGCUUACAUUUUGGAUUCUUUGCAUUUCAUUACAUCACUCCAUCAUUUCUUUCUUACAUCACAUAUACCUCAAAAUACACAUUACAUUCUUUUCUUUACAUCAUUCAUCAUCAAGUACAAAAGAUGAGCAUAGGGUACUUUACUACAAAAUGAACCCAACUGUGGUGGCCUCUGACUAAGGCGCGAUACCUUUACCUCGGUCGCUCGCCGGCUCGCUCCGUCCCAGGGCUUUGUGGAAAUAGUGAGGUGAGAACUACAACGAAGUUCCAGUGGUUCGGCCUCAACAUCACCGACUUCCCCACUAGACUAACUCAGGCAUAAUAGAAAGGUAAGCAGGAUAUAGUAACCAAUCUAUAACAUGAUGCUAAUAUGCCUGAACAAAUAGCAAGAAGUAUGCUCACAUUAAAUAAAUGCAGACUAGCAAACUCAUUCGUUUUUUGACUUUACUUUGUCUUUGUUCUUUAUUCUUUGCUCUCUGUCUUUGUUCUUUAAUCUCAAGCUAACCGGAGUUUCGCCACAUAGCUUGCUUCACAAUUAAUCCAUCAUCGCAGGAACUCACCAUACAGGACCGUCCUUUGGUUUACUCCAACCCGUGAUGCAUUAACUCCGGAGCGCAUCGCCCGAGGGGACGACCGCCCUCGAGCACGCGAACAUAGGCAAGUAUGAUCAUAUCCUUAAUCAAAGGAUCAUAAUUCUAAUCUUGACUUUACACUAGCUCUAGUGUUCUUUACAUCACUUUAUGUUGCAAACUCAUGCACUCACAUUCUUUACAUUUUCAUUACUCUUGCUAACCCUAGCAUUCUUGUUCUUUACAAUUCUUGUUCCUAUUGCCCCACUUUACUUUAACUUCACCCGUUGUCAUUUUCAUCAUUCUUUUCAUCACUUUAGUUCUUUACAUCACACUAACUCUAGUGUCAUUUCACAUUAGCUUUAUCGAAUGCCACUCGAUCUAUGUCCUUGUGUCACUCUGUUCUUUUGCUCACUUUGGGUGCUCACUUUUCUCUCAUGCAUACACAUAGGGUUUUCGACAUCACAUAGUUCCCAUUCAUCAUAUUAUGCAAGUUGUACUCACAAUCAUGCAUCAUUACAUUUUCAUCAUACUUUACCCUAAAAUGCAUGCAACAAAUAAUAUAUACAUGCUCAAAUGAAUGACACAUUAGGCAUAGAGAGAAGUUCAAUAAGUUUGAGAAGCACCACCCACCUCGUAGGCUUUCAAAGGUGCUCCGAUAAUUUUCUUGGGAUUUUUAGUCACCCGGUUCACUAUCUGCGGCAAAACGAAGCCCUAUUAGACCAUUUUGCUCAUAUCUUUACUUUGGCUUCUCGUAACGUUAGUCCGAACGCACCAACGCGUCGGAAAUACCCCCAAUUAGGUUUUUGAAAGGUCAAUUUCACAUAGAAAUCCCCAUGAGUAAAAGCCCCAAUUUGGGUGCCCUAGCUCCAUUGCAUGUGUAAACCUAGGGUUCGAUCUCAUUGGGAAGCAAAAGUAGCUUCAUUAUACUCUAAAUAGUCCAUUAGAACCAUCCCUAGCUCACUCCAAACCCUAGUUUGGAUUUCACCAUGAGAGGUGAUGAAGCUCACCUCAAGCUUCACCAUUUUCAUGGUCUUGAUCUCAAAAGAAGCAAAAAGAAAGCUUCAAAUACUCCAAAGGUUCCAUAAAAACCGUCUUCAUUCUAAUCCAAACCCUAGUUUGGAAUUAAACAUGAGAAGGGGCAAAGCUUACCUCUAAGCUUGCUCCUUUCUUGCUCUAGAGAGGAAGAAGAUGAAGCCUCUUUGCUCCUUGACCUCCUUUUUCACUUUCUUCUCCUUCUUCUCCUUGUUUUCUUCCUUUCUUCUUCUUCUCCUNUACAUAUUUCUGAACUUUCUCGUAAUAACCACCGGCCCAUACUUUUCUCUAUAACCCCUCAAGCACCGCGUUACAAAUUGCACGGUUGUUCAUUUUCGGCUCGCGGCUAAAAGCCGCCCUUUCGAUGUUUCAGAUGGUUAUGGGCAAACCUUUACCCUUCUGUAUCGUUACCUGAAACAGUGACCAAACGGAGCUAGUGUUCCGCCUGUGCUACGCCAUACCCACUAUCACCUAGCUAAUUGUUUCAGCCGCGUGAAGAACAGCUAUGUAUGAUGCACCAGCCCUCUGUUCAAUCGGGUUCACAUAGAGCUGCUCCAACACUCUGAAGUACCCCAAGGUCAUAGCUAGCACAGCCUAGCUCUGGGGUCCAAGUGUAGGGUAAAAACCUUCUCAAACGUUCUGCGCGAUCCGUGCGCCGAGCUGAAAUCGUGUCACAAAGUAGGAGUCUCACUACCUGUCAGUCUCGCCUGCUAUGUUUAGGAGCUCCUGGACGAAGCUCGUACACACGAUCUAAUGUUUCCUCCUACCGUACUAAAGAACGGAUACCGCCUCAAGCGGAUAUUGUUAUCGAUGGUUCUUUCAUAUCGCUACCGCGGAAAACUCCGUGAUAUACCAGCUUUCACAGCAAGAGGAUAGGUAACCUCGCUGCACCCGCUCUCCUGCCGAGAACCGGGCCUACAUCACGCCCUCCGCCUUCUUUUUCAAGCGGAGCGGGCGGUUGCCAAUCGCCACCGCGUCGGAGCCGUUUUCUCAAUACGGCUGUUUUCUUCUUUCCUAAAUCUCAAGCGUCAACCUCUGGCACAUAAGAACUCUCAUAGCGGCCACGCUCCUCAGUUUGCUAAACCCCAGGCACCCUUUGAUUCAGGGGCUAUACAGCCUGGCAAACUCUAUAACCUUGCACACCCACGCCACCGCAUAUUCGAGCGUGAUGGUGGCUCUGAGCGCCCUCAAGUGUUACAAAAGGUACACAGGUUAGAAGCCUUUAUAUAAGCGUUGGGCUGUGUACAUAAUCUCAUGCUCGGUCACCUCGAUGCACUUCUAUACAGAAUACUCCUCAUGGGCCACACGUAGGAGUUAGCUCUUCAAUUUUUCAACGCUUCAGCGUUCUAAGGUAUACAAUUUCAGGUCACCUCGUUGGUGCACCACGCUCUUCGGUGAACCCUCGAGCUCCUUUGGUACGCCGCUCUCAUGGGCGUAGAUAAACUCAGUUGCUCAAUUCCAUACGUAAAUUAAAGCGCCUGCUUUAAUAAAAUUCCCCACCUCUUACAUUAUAUGGCUUUUAAACCUUUUAUUUACAGCUUGAAAUCAGUUUAACUGGAUUCACGCUCCUGCCAUAUGAAGCCUUUUAGGCUUCCACAAUUUUACUAAUUUUCACUCAAUGCCCUCCAAAAGCUCUCGAUAUCUUAGUUUUAGACGUAAGACGUCAAAACUCGAGAGCCCCUGGCCAGGGACCACCCUCUCUGGCCAGGGGCUUGCGCACGUCUUAUUCUGUCGGUUUUUUAGCCGAUUCAGAACCUUCUAGUCGAGAGCCCUUGGCCAGAGACGAACUCUCUGGCCAGGCGGUCUCUGGCCAGGGUGGUCUCCCUCUGGCCAGCGUAACGCGCGUCGUCGAGACCGACGCGUCCCACCUGGAAGCCCUUGGCCAAGGCCGAGCCCCUCUGGCCAGAGACGGACGCUUUUGACGGGUCAGGUCCGUCACGUGUCUCUAUUUUCGACUCCCUAAAUCGACGUUAAAACGUUGGGUUAUCGAUACAUACUCCCGUUUACUCUAUAAAGAGAGUAAAAGAGUGGGAGAGUGUGAGAGAAGAGAGGGAGAGAGAGAGAUCUUCUGUUUCCUCUUCUUCUUCUUUCCUUCUUUUGUUCCUCUUCUUCCUCUUCUUUCACUUUUUCCUCCAGUUCCUCGUUUCUCCGAAGUAGAAGAAGGAGAGAUCUCGUUCUUUCCUCGUUCGAAUCUCCAUUCGAAACGGGGAAGAGUACAAAUUAAGGUUUGAUCCCAAAUUUAGUGCCGCCGGGGUGUAUGCUAUAAGGGGAUUGGUGCGCUUCUUGCAUAAUCGCCCUUCGCAACUCCUCAUCCUUUGGUACACACCAUCGAUUUCAAAAUCGAAGUGCGCCAUUAGCUCCAACGACAAAAUCUUCGGCCUUACCGCUCUCAACAUCACCUCGAACCUUUUGGAGAUAAGGAUCCGAAGCUUGUAACUCUUUGAUUCUCUCAAAUAGGGUCGAUUGCACAACUAAUGCGGCAAGUGUAGCCGGUACUCCCGGCGCCACCACUUCCAACCCGAACCGUUGCAUCUCCAUUUGCAAUAGCGGUUGAGGCGUAAUCGCCGUCGCUAAGUUCUCCGCCGAUUUUCUACUUAGACCAUCGGCCACAACUUUGGCUUUUCCGGGGUGGUAUAGUAUGGUGACAUCAUAGUCCUUUAGCAACUCUAACCACCGCCGCUGUCGCAUGUUCAACUCUUUCUGGGUGAACAAGUACUUUAGACUUUUGUGAUCGGUGUAUACCUCACAAUGUUCACCAUACAAGUAAUGCCUCCAAAGCUUUAGCGCGAAAAUCACCGCGGCUAACUCGAGGUCAUGGAUUGGGUAGUUCUUCUCAUAACUCUUUAACUGGCGCGAUGCAUAAGCAAUGACUCACCCAUUUUGCAUUAAUACACACCCGAGUCCAACGUAAGAGGCAUCACUGUACACUACAAAAGUCUCCCCCGGAGUCGGCAAGGCAAUCACCGGGGUUGACGUUAAUCUGUUCUUUAACUCCUCGAAGCUUCGAUCGCAAUCGUCGCUCCAAACAUACUUUACUCCUUUAUGUGUGAGGCGCGUUAGUGGAGUGGUUAUUUUGGCGAACCCCUCCACGAACCGCCGGUAAUAGCCCGCAAGUCCAAGAAAACUGCGGACCUCCGCUACAUUCGUCGAGCGAGGCCAAUCCUUGAUCGCCUCUACUUUCUUCGGGUCUACUGACACUCCGUCGCCCGACACCACAUGGCCCAAAAAUGUGACCUCCUUUAGCCAAAAGUCACACUUCUUUAACUUUGCAUAGAGCUUCUCCUGCCUGAGUAUCUGCAACACAGCUCUGAGAUGCUCUUCGUGCUCCUCUUCACUUUUCGAGUAAACCAACACGUCGUCUAUAAACACUACGACGCAUCGAUCCAACAAUGGCCUAAAGACUCGAUUCAUCAAGUCCAUAAAUGCUGCCGGGGCAUUAGUAAGCCCAAACGGCAUUACCGUAAACUCAUAAUGGCCAUACCGCGUACGGUACGCUGUUUUAUGCACAUCUUUCGGCCUGAUCUUUAAUUGAUGAUACCCCGAUUGGAGAUCAAUCUUCGAAUACACCUUGGACCCUUGCAACUGAUCGAAUAGAUCGUCAAUCCUUGGCAACGGGUACUUGUUCUUUAUCGUUACUUUAUUCAACUCGCGAUAAUCUACGCAGAGUCGAAGUGUGCCAUCAUUUUUCUUCACAAAUAGUACCGGAGCUCCCCACGGUGACACACUCGGCCUCACGAAGCCUUUAUCGAGCAAGUCUUGUAGUUGACCUUUUAGCUCCUUUAGCUCCACCGGUGCCAUUCUAUACGGCGCCUUUGAAACUGGUUCUGCCCCGGGAAUUAAGUCAAUGACAAACUCAACUUCCCGGUCCGGUGGCAGUCCCGGUAACUCCGCCGGAAAUACAUCCGGGUACUCGCACACUACUCGGAUAUCCCCCAGCUCUGGGUACUCCUUUCGAGCAUCCACCAUGGUUGCCAAAU